rnacentral:rRNA from 1 species
GACGAACGCUGGCGGCGUGCUUAACACAUGCAAGUCGAACGGAAAGGCCCUGCUUGCAGGGUACUCGAGUGGCGAACGGGUGAGUAACACGUGGGUUAUCUGCCCUGCACUUCGGGAUAAGCCUGGGAAACUGGGUCUAAUACCGGAUAGGAGCCAUUUUUAGUGUGAUGGUUGGAAAGUUUUUUCGGUGUAGGAUGAGCUCGCGGCCUAUCAGCUUGUUGGUGGGGUAAUGGCCUACCAAGGCGGCGACGGGUAGCCGGCCUGAGAGGGUGGACAGCCACAUUGGGACUGAGAUACGGCCCAGACUCCUACGGGAGGCAGCAGUGGGGAAUAUUGCACAAGGGGCGCAAGCCUGAUGCAGCGACGCCGCGUGGGGGAUAACGGCCUUCGGGUUGUAAACUCCUUUCGCUAGGGACGAAGCUUUUUGUGACGGUACCUAGAGAAGAAGCACCGGCUAACUACGUG